CGGUAAUUCCAGCUCCAAUAGCGUAUAUUAAAGUUGUUGCCGUUAAAAAGCUCGUAGUUGAACCUUGGGUCUGGCUGGCCGGUCCGCCUCACCGCGAGUACUGGUCCGGCUGGACCUUUCCUUCUGGGGAACCUCAUGGCCUUCACUGGCUGUGGGGGGAACCAGGACUUUUACUGUGAAAAAAUUAGAGUGUUCAAAGCAGGCCUUUGCUCGAAUACAUUAGCAUGGAAUAAUAGAAUAGGACGUGCGGUUCUAUUUUGUUGGUUUCUAGGACCGCCGUAAUGAUUAAUAGGGAUAGUCGGGGGCGUCAGUACUCAGCUGUCAGAGGUGAAAUUCUUGGAUUUGCUGAAGACUAACUACUGCGAAAGCAUUCGCCAAGGAUGUUUUCAUUAAUCAGGGAACGAAAGUUAGGGGAUCGAAGACGAUCAGAUACCGUCGUAGUCUUAACCAUAAACUAUGCCGACUAGGGAUCGGGCGGUGUUUCUAUGAUGACCCGCUCGGCACCUUACGAGAAAUCAAAGUUUUUGGGUUCUGGGGGGAGUAUGGUCGCAAGGCUGAAACUUAAAGAGAUUGACGGAAGGGCACCACAAGGCGUGGAGCCUGCGGCUUAAUUUGACUCAGCACGGGGAAACUCACCAGGUCCAGACAAAAUAAGGAUUGACAGAUUGAGAGCUCUUUCUUGAUCUUUUGGAUGGUGGUGCAUGGCCGUUCUUAGUUGGUGGAGUGAUUUGUCUGCUUAAUUGCGAUAACGAACGAGACCUCGGCCCUUAAAUAGCCCGGUCCGCGUUUGCGGGCCGCUGGCUUCUUAGGGGGACUAUCGGCUCAAGCCGAUGGAAGUGCGCGGCAAUAACAGGUCUGUGAUGCCCUUAGAUGUUCUGGGCCGCACGCGCGCUACACUGACAGGGCCAGCGAGUACAUCACCUUGGCCGAGAGGUCCGGGUAAUCUUGUUAAACCCUGUCGUGCUGGGGAUAGAGCAUUGCAAUUAUUGCUCUUCAACGAGGAAUGCCUAGUAGGCACGAGUCAUCAGCUCGUGCCGAUUACGUCCCUGCCCUUUGUACACACCGCCCGUCGCUACUACCGAUUGAAUGGCUCGGUGAGGCCUUCGGACUGGCCCAGGAGGGUUGGCAACGGCCCCCCAGGGCCGGAAAGUUGGUCAAACCCGGUCAUUUAGAGGAAGUAAAAGUCGUAACAAGGUAACC
rnacentral:rRNA from 1 species